rnacentral:rRNA from 1 species
CGAAGGUAGCAUAAUCAGUAGUUUUUUAAUUGAAAGCUGGUAUGAAUGGUUGGAUGAAAUAUUAGCUGUUUCAUUUAAAAUUAUUAUAGAAUUUAAUUUUUUAGUUAAAAAGCUAAAAUUUUUUUAAAAGACGAGAAGACCCUAUAAAUCUUUAUAUAUUAUUUGUAUUAAUUAUAAGGAUUUUUUUGAUUAUUAUAUUUUAAUAUAUUUUAUUGGGGUGAUAUUAAAAUUUAAAAAACUUUUAAUUUAUAUUAAACAUAAAUUAAUGAAUAUAUGAUCCGUUAUUAACGAUUAAAAAUUUAAGUUACUUUAGGGAUAACAGCGUAAUUUUUUUGGAGAGUUCAUAUCGAUAAAAAAGAUUGCGACCUCGAUGUUGGAUUAA